AUGAGUUAGGGUCUUCCAGGCCCGAUCUCCAACCCUUUGUAUAACUACCAUGUUGCUUUGGCGGGCCCGUCUUUAACCGGACCGCCGGGGGUUUACGCCCCUGGUCAGUGCUCGUCAGUAGCCCAUAACAAAUUCUUUGAAUCAUGUUAAAUCUGAAAAUAGUUAAAUAAACUA
rnacentral:misc_RNA from 2 species